rnacentral:tRNA from 1 species
GGUGAUUUUAGCUCAAUGGUAGAGCGCUUCUUUGUGGCAGAAGAUAUCUCAGUUCAAUUCUGGGAUUUCACC